CUGUUCUAACUUGGGCCGGAUUAAUAAAGUGAACAUGGGUAUCGAUUGCACCUGCCGUAACAAUCAACCCUUCCCCAGCAAUGAUUUCUGUCGAUGCACCAAUGACAAUAUCCACAUUAUCCAUAAUUAAAGGAUUUCCAGCUUUCCCAAUCCCAGCGAUUUUCCCGUCACGGAUUGCAAUAUCUGCUUUAACAAUCCCUGUGUAAUCUAAAAUCACCGCAUUGGUAAUGACUACAUCCGGUAUUCCAUCCCCGCGAGUCACAAGCGGAUGCUGCCCCAUACCAUCACGA
rnacentral:sRNA from 1 species